rnacentral:rRNA from 1 species
AUUGAACGCUGGCGGCAUGCCUUACACAUGCAAGUCGAACGGCAGCACGGGGGCAACCCUGGUGGCGAGUGGCGGACGGGUGAGUAAAGCAUCGGAACGUAUCCUGGAGUGGGGGAUAACGUAGCGAAAGUUACGCUAAUACCGCAUAUUCUGUGAGCAGGAAAGCAGGGGAUCGCAAGACCUUGCGCUCUGGGAGCGGCCGAUGUCGGAUUAGCUAGUUGGUGGGGUAAAGGCCUACCAAGGCGACGAUCCGUAGCGGGUCUGAGAGGAUGAUCCGCCACACUGGGACUGAGACACGGCCCAGACUCCUACGGGAGGCAGCAGUGGGGAAUAUUGCGCAAUGGGCGAAAGCCUGACGCAGCGACGCAGCGUGAGGGACGACGGCCUCGG